ensembl:lncRNA
AUGAAGCAGAGCAGGAUUUACAAUCUUGUUUUGACCUCACUGAUUGGAGUUUUUGAAGCUGCUGCCACCGAUCUGGACGAGCUCACAGAGACUGUAACAUCAUAUAUCAGUUUCUGUGAGGAUAUGUGUAUUCCUACCAGGACUCAACUAAUUUACAACAAUGACAAACCGUGGUUCACUGCAAAACUCAGACAGCUCCGUCAGGCCAAAGAAGAUGCUUACAGGAAAGGGGACAAUGUCUUGUAUAAACAGGCUAAAUACACACUGGAAAAGGAGAUUAAAGUGGCAAAGAGGAAUUAUUCUGAUAAAAUAAGGACUCAGUUCACUUCCAACGACUCAGCAUCAGUGUGGAAAAGUCUGAAAGAGAUCACCAAUUACAAGACACCACCCCCCAGCACUGUGGAGAAUCAACGACUGGCAGACGAUCUGAACGAGUUUUACUGCAGGUUUGAAAGAAAAACACCCAUCACCUGCCCUGAACGCCUCUCCACACAACCGUUCACACCAUUCACAACUCCUGCUACCCACCUUGAAUGCCUCUCCAAACAACCGCCCUCACCAUUCACACCUCCUGCAUCCCCCCUCUCCCCCACACCUGCAAUACAGAUAAGCGAGGAUGCGGUGCGCCAGGUCUUCCGGAAGCAGAAAAGGAAAAAAGCACCAGGCCCAGACUGUGUUACACCAGCUUGUCUGAAAUCCUGUGCUGACCAGCUGGCCCCCAUCUUCACACAGAUCUUCAACAGAUCACUGGAGCUGUGUGAAGUCCCUUCAUGCUUCAAACGCUCCACCAUCAUCCCCAUCCCAAAGAAAUCCAAAAUUACAGGACUAAAUGACUACAGGCCUGUGGCUUUAACGUCUGUGGUCAUGAAGUCAUUUGAAAAACUGGUGCUGGCCCACCUGAAGGACAUUACUGGACCCUUACUGGAUCCUCUUCAGUUUGCCUACAGAGCAAACAGGUCUGUGGACGAUGCAGUAAACAUUGGACUGCAUUAUGUUCUGCAACACCUAGACAGACCAGGGACUUAUGUGAGAAUCCUGUUUGUGGACUUCAGCUCGGCCUUCAACACGAUCAUCCCAAACCUCCUCCUGCCCAAACUAACACACAACCGUUCACACCAUUCACACCUCUUGCAACCCACCCUGAACACCUCUCCACACAUACGUUCACACCAUUCACAACUCUUCCAACCCAUCCUGAACACCUCUCCAAACAACCACUCUCACCAUUCACACCUCCUGCAACCCCCUUCUCCCCCACACCUGCAAUACAUAAAAAGGAAAAAAGCACCAGGCCCAGAUUGUGUUACACCAGCCUGUCUGAAAUCCUGUGCUGACCAGCUGGCCCCCAUCUUCACACAGAUCUUCAACAGAUCACUGGAGCUGUGUGAAGUCCCUUCAUGCUUCAAACACUCCACCAUCAUCCCCAUCCCAAAGAAAUCCAAAAUUACAGGACUAAAUGACUACAGGCCUGUGGCUUUAACGUCUGUGGUCAUGAAGUCAUUUGAAAAACUGGUGCUGGCCCACCUGAAGGACAUCAGUGGACCCUUGCUGGAUCCUCUUCAGUUUGCCUACAGAGCAAACAGGUCUGUGGACGAUGUAUUAAACAUUGGACUGCAUUAUUUUCUGCAACACCUAGACAGACCGGGGACUUACGUGAGGAUCCUGUUUGUGGACUUCAGCUCAGCCUUUAACACUAUCAUUCCAAACCUUCUCCUGCCCAAACUAACUCAGCUCUCCAUGCCCACCUCCGUCUGUCAGUGGAUCAACAGCUUCCUGACAGACAGGCAGCAGCUAGUGAGGCUGGGAAAAUACACAUCCAGCACCCCCAGGGCUGCAUUCUCUCCCCACUUCUCUUCACCAUGUACACCAAUGACUGCACAUCUAAGGACCCCUCUGUCAAGCUCCUGA